rnacentral:rRNA from 1 species
CCUACGGGAGGCAGCAGUAGGGAAUAUUGCUCAAUGGGGGAAACCCUGAAGCAGCAACGCCGCGUGGGGGAUGACGGCUUUCUGAUUGUAAACCCCUUUUGUUAGGGAAGAUAAUGUCGGUAUCUAUCGAAUAAUCACCGGCUAACUCCGUUCCAUCCGCCGCGGUAAUACGGAGGGGGCAAGCGUUACUCGGAAUCUCUGGGCGUAAAGGGCGCGUAGGCGGGAUAGCAAGUUAGAUGGGAAAUCCUAUGGCUUUAACAUAGAAUGGCCUUUGAAACUGGUGUUCUAGAGUAUGGCCGAGGUAGGUGGAAUAAUUUGAGUAGGGGUGAAAUGCGUAGAGAUAAAGAAGAACACCGAUAGCGAAGGC